rnacentral:rRNA from 1 species
UACGGGGGGAGCAAGCGUUGUUCGGAUUUACUGGGCGUAAAGGGCGCGUAGGCGGCCACCGCAAGUCGACUGUGAAAUCUCCGGGCUUAACCCGGAAAGGUCAGCCGAUACUGCGGGGCUAGAGUGCAGAAGGGGCAACUGGAAUUCUCGGUGUAGCGGUGAAAUGCGUAGAUAUCGGGAGGAACACCAGUAGCGAAGGCGGCUCGCUGGGCCAUUCCUGACGCUGAGACGCGAAAGCUAGGGGAGCGAACAGG